GAUGAACGCUGGCGGUAUGCCUAACACAUGCAAGUCGAACGGACUCUUCGGACUUAGUGGCGGACUGGUGAGUAACGCGUUGGAAUCUGGCUUUGGGUUUGGGACAACCACUGGAAACGGUGGCUAAUACCGGAUGUGCCGCGGGGUAAAAGAGAAAUUGACUGAAGAUGAGGUCGCGUCUGAUUAGCUAGUGGGUGAGGUAAAGUCUCACCAAGUCAGCGAUCAGUAGCUGGUCUGAGAGGAGGACCAGCCAAACUGGGACUGAGACACGGCACAGACUAAUACGGGAGGAAGCAGGGGGGAAUUAUCCGGAAAGGGCGAAAGCGUGAAGAAGCAAUACCGAGUGAGGAAAGAAGGAACUUGGGAGGUAAAGCUGUUAUCUUAGGGAAGAACAAAAUGACGGUACCAAAGGAAUAAGCAUCGGCUAACUCCGUG
rnacentral:rRNA from 1 species